UGGGGAAUAUUGGACAAUGGGGGAAACCCUGAUCCAGCAAUGCCGCGUGAGUGAUGAAGGCCUUAGGGUUGUAAAGCUCUUUUACCCGGGAUGAUAAUGACAGUACCGGGAGAAUAAGCUCCGGCUAACUCCGUGCCAGCAGCCGCGGUAAUACGGAGGGAGCUAGCGUUGUUCGGAAUUACUGGGCGUAAAGCGCGCGUAGGCGGCUUUCCAAGUCAGAGGUGAAAUCCCGGGGCUCAACCCCGGAACUGCCCUUGAUACUGGAUGUCUGGAGUUCGAGAGAGGUGAGUGGAAUUCCGAGUGUAGAGGUGAAAUUCGUAGAUAUUCGGAGGAACACCAGUGGCGAGGGCGGCUCACUGGCUCGAUACUGACGCUGAGGUGCGAAAGUGUGGGGAGCAAACAGGAUUAGAUACCCGCGUAGUCC
rnacentral:rRNA from 1 species